UUUUCCCCUAUCGCUGAAUGGGGCCCAAAAAAGUCAGAAUGGUCGGGACUGGCAAACAAAUGCAAAGAGUGACCACUGAAAACUUCGGUUGGCCCUAACCCUCA